rnacentral:lncRNA from 1 species
CCCCAACCCCGUUAAAAUUUUAGACAGAAAUCCCCUUCCCUUCCUUCCUCCCUUUUUUUCCCCAAAUUGAAAACCCACCUACAGUCCCCACCGGUCCACCAUCCCACCUCCGGUCUCCGGUCCUCCAGCACUCCACCUCCACUCCACGACACUAGGUGGCUGUUCUCUUCACUUCGAUUCUUCUGCAACUUCCGAGUCCGACCCAAACCCUUCAAAUCAACAAGUUCAAGCCUUCAAGGUAACUUCUUUCUAUUCUUCUUCACUUUAGUUUUCAUUUUAAUCAUGUAUUUAAGACUUAAGAGAAGGCUGCUCUUUAUUGCUGAGUUUAGUGACGGUGACAUGCUUCGAUUUUUAAUAUACUGUUGCCAUGUUCUCUUUGAACUUUGAAGUUUGAAGUCAUUUGCUAGUGCUUUUCAUUUUCCAGAUUUUGAAGUCAUUUUAAUAUAUUUGAAGUCAUUUUGAAGGUAAUUCAUUUUCCAGACUUUGGCAUGUCAUUUUCCAGAUUUUGGCAUGUCAUUUUUCAGAUUUUAUUUUAUUUCCAGAAAAACUGUUUACAUGUAUGAGUAGUAAAUACUUCUUGUCAUCCAUUUUCUUGGUCAACAAACGGGAAUUUGAUCUUAAAGAUCCUUAAGAUUAAAAUACGAAUGAAGUUAGGUUUAUAUGGUCAUGUUUUUGCAAAGUCAAAAUUUCAUCUGCUUUUCUUUUUGGUUUGAUUUGUUUUUUGGUUGGUGAGAAAGUGAAUGAAAAGUUGCUGAGAAUGAAUUGAAUUGAAUUUGUUGGUUGAUGUAAAAUGAAUUGAAAAUGAACUGUGGCGGGGUUUUGUUUUUCGUAGAGUUUCGGUUAGUAAAAAUACAUUUUGUAAGCUCAUAAGAGAAAUAGGACUUUGAUAAUGAAAUGAUUUUGAUACGUUUAAGAACAUGUUCACUACUGGUCCAAAAAAAACAAACCACCAACCCUCUGUAGCAGUCAUGACAAUCCCAGUACCAGCUCUUUGAAAAAUCGAGUCUUUUAUUGUAGCAAAGGUCGUUUAACUGGCAUUCACAUGGGUCUAAUUAUUUGACAGUUUUUUGCAGCUUCAAACUUAAAAGCAAUAGUAGUGCUUAUUGCCCAAUGAUAAUAUGCUGCUAGUCCUUAUUACUUGUAUAAUCAUUUUUAUUUUUAUUCUCUUUUUUUAAGAAUUGAUUGUUAGUUUGUUACCUAAAUGUCACAAAUGUGUAAUUAUAGACAAUUAAAUAACAUUUAAAUUCAAUUAGUUGGUAAUUUUUUAAACUUACAGUGUAUUAGUUUAGUGUAAUGCUACAUCAACUCUAACAUAAAGUUUAUAGAUAACAUGAUGAAAGCUAUUAUUUUAAAUUUUUUUCAUUAUAUACAAAAAAAAUAUAAUUUGAUAUUUGAUAUAACUUUAAUAAAAAUUAGUUUUAACUUCUAAGUAAAAAAAAAAACGGGCCGGGCCGGGCCGAGCCCGGGCUUCAUAUUUUUUCCACGGGCCGGGCCUGGGCUACAUCUCAGGCCCAUAUUUUGGGCCGGGCCAGGCCCGGGCCUAGUAAGAGGGCCGAAAUUUUUUUGGGCCCGGCCCGAACCCGGCCCGGCCCGGCCCAUGAGAACCUCUAUUUCAAAUAUAUAUAUAUAUUUAAUCCUAGACUUAAAUUAAUUUUAUAAAAACCUAAAAUAAAACACAAUUUCAUUACCUUUUUUAAUAAUUUUAUAAUUUUAUUAAUUUUUUAUAAUUUUCACAAUUUAUUGCAUUUAAAAAAAUAAAUAUAUUUUAUUAAAUUUUAUUUCAUUAAUCUUAUUAAUAUUGACAAGGACUAAAAUAAAAAGUAUUGUCAAGUUUAAAAACUAAGGGUAUGUUUAAUUGGGUAGAUACGUGGAGGAAUAGAAGGAGUGAGUGGAAAAGUGGAAAGAAAAUAAAUUUUGAGUGUGCUUAGUUAGGAAGAAAAGUGAGAGGAAAGAAAUUAGGAGGGGUGAUAAUUUUCCCUCCUAAAUGUAUAAAAACUAAUCCUUCCAAAUUGAGAUGAUGAGAUUAUAAAAAAUUGGAGAGAAGUAUAUGUUAGUUCAAAUUAUGCAUUUUUCAAAAAUUUUAUUUUUCUUUCAUUUUUCAACUUUACCAAGCAAUGGAGGGAAAUUAAUUCUUAAAGAAUUUUAGCCAAUAAUAGACUGCCACAUCGUAUAAACUUUUAAAAAUAUUUUUUAAAUUUUCUUUUAAAUGAUAUCUAUUUACUCUCUUUUUUUCGUUUUUCUAUCUUCUUCUUUUAUAAAUAUAAUGUCUGGUAAUGCCAAUAAUGCUAAAAAUUUGUCCUCUCAAGGUCAAGACAUUGGCAAUUAAUUUUGUUUUUGAACUUCACCACCUGCUUACUCGACCCGAUGGGAUUAAAAAAAAUUAUUUCAUCGAUCAAAAUCAUUAUUUUUAAAAUUGAAUCAACUAGUUGGAUUGAUUGGAUCAAGAAUUAGAUGGAGUUUUAGUCCAAAUAGAAAUGGCAAAACCCAAACCACUCCGAAUGGAGCGACUUUGUUCUUUUGAGAAGUAGAUGUGGGUACAACCGCGUGGAUUUAUUUUCUUUUGGAUAGUGGAUAUGGGAACAAUUAUAGUAAUUGCUUACCCCACCCUUAUCUGCUCUACUAUAUAAAAUUAUCAUUUUAUCAUUGUACAUAUAAACUAUUAAAAAGGUAAAAAUAUAAUAACAUAAUAUAAAAAAUCUAUAUAUUUCAUGUUUAAAUAAUAUUUUGAAGAAUUAUGUUUAAACAUUUACUUAACUUUAAAAAGAUUGAAAAUAUUAUAAAUAAGUAGAAAUUUUAAAUUGAAACGGAGCAGGGUGAGGAGAGAAUAUCCAACAUCUUAUGAAAGUAGUAAUAAUUUUCAAGAUUAUACACUCAUGGUAGAGCUAAGCAAAUGGUGGAGCAAACCAUGCUAACUAUGGAGCGGUUAUGGAUUUAACAUUAUUUACUCCCACCUCACUUUAUUGUCAUCCUUAAAUUCAAAGAAACUGAUUGAAGCAAGUUAAAAACUAGUUGAGUUGAUUUUUUCUAUUUAAAAAAAAAUAUUUUUAUGAUUUUUAAUAAUUUAUUUAAUCAAACCAAAUAAAACAACUAAAUCAAAAAUUAAUUGCCUAACUUAUUUAACCAUGGGUUUGAUUUAAGUACCAACUUAAUAAAACAAAAGUUUAAGUACUACCUGUAUUUAAAAAAACAUUAUAAUUUAAGUACUAAUUGUUGAGUUAAACUUAAGAAGAGGAAUAUACAAUGAUGUAACAGAAUCAUUUCAUAUAAUCCUUUCAAGUCAUUCUAGCAUGUGAUGCCAAGUUGAAAAAUAUUAUCGAAAACAUAAUAAAAAAAAAGCUUAAUUAAUUCAGAACAAACAACCCCACGCCCCCACCCCGAAGAAAAAAAGAAGUUAAUUUGUUUGUUUAUUUUAGUAUAUGAAACUAUCAAGACUUGAAUCAUGUUAAACAAUAAGUUGGGCAUUUUACUACGAGACACGUUGUUGACAGAAUAUGUUUGAUCAUAUGUAAAAGAAUUUAGAACGCUUAAAUGGAUGGAUGUGGGAAAGAAAAAAAUAAAAGAAAAUGAAGAUGGAUAUAUAUAUAUAUCAUUUCCAGGCAACAGCAUCAAUCUCAUCUCUGGCUGCUUUGUAAAGCUCCAGCCUUUUAGCAAUCUGUGUUCUCUUUUCCAUGAGUUGAGGGUCCUCAUCCAACAUUGCACUCAGUCGUUCCUUCUGCAUAACCCACCCACCACAAUUAUUUAUAUAUAUAUAUAUUUAUAUUUUCCUUUCUGAUAGAUACACUUCAACAAGCACGGCGGCAGGGGAAGCUGUGAGUGAAGUGAUUAUUAACAACACCCAAUAGAUAACCUCUAAAAUCGGUGUACUCUCAUAUUCAUGUUCUUUGAAUCUUGCAAUCAAAUUUCUGUUAAUGGAAGAGAAUGAUGUGCAACAGUAAAAAGUAAUACUAUAAACAGUAAUUUACCUCUUUCCUCCCUACUUGGGCAUAAAAGUGGGUCAACAGUGACCUCUUGGCCUCUCUCACUUGGCAAUAAACCACAGCUUUAGGAAUAGUAUUCUUCAAUGUAUCAGAAACCAUGGCUAUAUAAGCGCUAACAUUUGAUCCUGAACCAACAACACAUAUUUGUCACUACUUGUUAAUCUCUCUCUCUAUAUAUAUAGAUUCCCUUUCAUGAUUUCAAGAGUAACUUAAGAGAAUGCAGAUUAUGUUGAAACAGUACUCUUAAUUAAGGUGCUAAGAGGAUCUUAGAGCAUCACAUGUAGUAACAUAAUCAACAGAAACUUCACAUACCAAUCCUUGCGAGAGAAGUAUCAUGGAAAUGGUCAUUAUUUGGGCCAGGUGGGUUCCCAUUCUUCUCUGGUUUCUUCUCUGGUGCUGCAUGAAGCUUCCGGAAAAAAUCAACCGUCAAGUAACUAGACUCCAUCUCUACUAGCCGCACCACUGUUUUACGACUUUCUUCACGAAAUCUUUCCAAAGCCUCAUUUGCAGCAGUAGCUAUGUCAUUUUGAAGUGAUGGGAAUCGCUUAAGUUCCUGUAGUUGCAUCGAAUUUCCAUAUUAUCAUCUCAUAAAGAAAAUGUUGUGAAUAUUAGGUCAACCUCUAGGAACCCACAAGAGUAGAACGUAAAAACAAAAUCUGCUCACACACAUACACCUUUUCUUUGGCCCCGUUCAUAUUUUGUAAGAAAUUUUCCAAUUACUUAAAAGUGAAAAAUUAGGGAUGUUACUGAAUUUAUCUUAUGCUAGUGUUAUUGAAUUUCAUGAAUGAAUGUUUCCAGCUAAGUGCUACUUACCUCUGUUUCAGCUAUUGACUUCCUCACAAGUUCUUUCAAAACAAAAUGCACCUGAAGAUCAAAGCACAUAAUAUUCAAGAAUUGGUAAUAAGGGUAAGAUAAAAGUUUCACUUUUCUGCAAAAUUAUAUAGGAAGGAGUAAAUAGAAACUGCAAUUAACAAGAAUCUCUUAAAAGAAACACAUGUUCAAUAACCCUCGUAUGAGAGCUAGACUUGCGAGAACCACACUUAUAAACCUUCCACAAAUAGCCUACUUAAAAUAUUCUUGUAAAUUUUCCUGUUAGUCUACACGACAAACCAGCACCAUAUAAUGUAUAUGCGAUUGCCCAGAAAAGUCUGCCAAAUCAUGUUUGAUCACCCUUUUCAAGGAGCAACACCAUUUCAAAUAGAAAAGAGCAGAUAGCAAAAGCAUAUGAAACUAAAGCCUAAAAUGUUAUCCUCCUUCAUAUAAAGGAUGUUAAGGCAGAAAUCUUCUCCAGUCUGAUAUGUUAUUUUUCACUCUUCUUUUACUUGUCUUCCAGAAACAGCUUUCUUUUCUAAUUUCUAGUAGUAACGAGUCCAAGCUGUGGUUUUACCAUUGCAGUGUCUCUAGGUUAUUACAUAUAUACCCUUUACGUGUCUCUCACACCUUUCAUGUAUCUAGAAACACAUAUAACUGAACUGUAGAGUUCAAUGAACAAAUCAAUCAGUCCCAAAUCUCACCACGUGCCUUUUUCAAAAGAAACAUUUGACUAUUUUAGAACCGAUGUAAUGACAGAAGGACCCAAUAAAUUACACAAAUACAUUAAAUAAUUCUCUCCCUUCUAUCCAGUAACAUACUAUAAUACAUUAGAGAAAAUCCCUUUAAGCUUUCGUACCAUGCAUUGCUCAAAUGCUAGCAUGUCAUUUUAGAACUUGGGGCUAAAAGCAAUAUCCAACAGUGAAGCAGAUCUAAUACAACUUAAGAACAUACCUAAAGAAAUAAUUGUGAUGUGAGGAAAGGAUUGUGAAACUUUUACCCCACACUAUUGCUUGUUAUGCUAAGCCUUUUUUUCUCAGAAGAAUGGAUAUUUUAAAAGGACAGUCCAGUCUUAAGUUCAAUUCUUACUGAACGCCUCUUCAUUUCACAAGGCAGUCAAAUGCUGCUCCUUACUACUAGCAUGAGUUAACAUGAAACCACCUAUGAAAAUGGAUCAACUACUAGGGGUUUAAAAUUUUACCAAAUUAGCAUGCUUAAGAAGUCAAGAAAAUUAAGUUUGGUUUCAGUUUCAGGCCAAGACACCUCUUGAUUUAGCAGCCAACCUCUCUCCAGAACAUGUAGAGGGUUCAAACUCCCUCUUCCUGAUAUUCAUCCUUAAAAGAGGAGAGAAGAAGGAAUGGAGGAUAAAAAUUGAAAAUUUUGAGUACAUUAAACACAUGCCAAUUUGUGUCUGUGUGUGUCUAUUCAAACUAAAGGAAUUACUAGCUGCAUCUUUCCCAAAAUUGACAGUUAAGAAAGCAAAAACACUAGUAAGAAUGUUACAGCAUCUACAGUGUGUGUGUGUGCGCGCACACACACGUGUCUAUUCAAAUAAAAGGAAUUACUAGUUGCAUCUUCACAAGAUUUAAAGUUAAACAAGCAACAGCACAAGUAAGAACAUUACAGCAUCUACAGAGGCUUCUGCUGGGCCCUUGAAAUAGGUGAUGGAACCAUCAAUGAGCCUCCUGUAUCCUUGUUCUGGAGCAAUCAAAUGGGGCUGAUAGCCAUCGGCCUCAGUGACAACUUUCUGGACAUUUUUUAAUGAAAGAUGACGAUCAAAGGGGAGUUUCUUCAAUGCAGCUGGCAAUUGGUGGUCAAAAACUCCAUAUAUCCUAUCACCGCCAGGUCGCCUGAAGCAGCAACUUACCAUUUAUUUUUAUUUUUAUUUUGAAAGAAAAGACCCGAAGGUCAACCUCAAUUCAUUGCAUCAUUUAAAACAAUAUUAUGGAUUUCCAUCGGGUAAUCCAUAUCAAAAUUUUUAGUACAAUUAUUAAUAAGAGCCCAACUACAAAGCUGAUCAGCAGCUUUAUUACAACAGCGAGGAGCCCAAUUAAAAUUAAAACUAAAGCACGGGCCCAAAAAAUUAAGCAGAUCCCGAAUGCGGUGGCCCAUAGUUUAGGGGACAAAUCUAAAAUUAUACUACAGGGAAUGGCAUAGUUGACCACAUUCAUAGGAAACAUACUUUACAACUUUUAAGAAAAAAAUGUCACAAGACUUCCAGAAUUUCUAGUAAGUAUCAUCACUUUUAUAGUUUACUAUCUCUAGCAGAAGCAGAUACUUCACAUGCAAGCCAACCAGACAACACAGCCUAGUAUGUAUCCUAAUUUCCAGUACAACUAUAGCUGAGAUACUGAAUAGUAAGAGGACAGAACAGAAGCUUUAUAAGAUUAAAUAAUGUCACAAGACUUCCAGAAUUUCUAGUAAGUAUCAAUAUGUGAAUGUAAUUUAAGAAAGCAGGUGUUAUAACUUAAGAUUUUGAACUUAGAAAGUAGAAAUACUUAAUAAGAAUUAAGUGUGUAAGCUGACUAGUAAAUAAAUCAAACUGUGGUAUAGAAGUUUAAAUGCUGAAAAAAUUAUGCACUUUACCCUCCAUCCAGGUGCUCCUUGAAAACACGAUCAAAUGCACGGCAAAGUUCUAAAAUCAUGUACAACUGGGCCUGCACAUACAUUUAAUACAAUUGAAUGAACAGUUGAAGGAGUAACCCAUUCACAAAUAAAGAAAACUGAUUCCAAAAGACCUAAAAUUUUUACCCCUCCAUCAGCUGCAACUGGCCUGCCAAUGCGAUCCAACUCUGCGUUGAGCUCAUCAAUUGUCUUAUUAAUCAUAGAAAUGAUGCUUGGUAUGCGCUGCCUAAUAACAAGCUCUAAAUGCUGAAAUAGAGGAAAUUUAAAAAAAAAUAAAAAAUAAUUAGAACAAAUAUACAUACAAGGUCUCAUAGACAUUCAGUGAGAUGUUAAGCUUCUCUGAGAUAUCAAUAUUAAAAUUAACUGAAGCAACAAAAAUAGAAAGAUAAACAAGACCUGAGAUAAAAGUUUUGCAAGAUACUCCGAUCCCAUUUUGCUCGCCAAGUGUCCAUAAUCAGGGCUUGUUUCAAAAUAUUCACGCUCUUUUCGACGAGCAACAAUCAUAUCAACAUUCUUAUUGAUGUCAGCUUGAGAACGAUUCACAAUUCCAACCCAAGGAUGUUGUAGCCUAUAUGCCCUUCCUUCAAGAACCUGAAUCAAGUAAUCAUAAAGUUUGUGUCUUAUGGUUUUAAAAUCUACAUGGGAGCUUUUCUAACUGAUCUGCCGUCAUACAUAACGAUGAAUCAAUACCACACAUGAAAGAAAAAUAAGCAUCCAAAAGAAAUAAUUUGAAAUGGAGCCAUUAGGCAAUAAGCAUAUUUGAAAUAAACCAUGGACUUAAGAGGCAUUGUCAUGUAGGGUUCCAUUUCAACGAGGAUGAUUUUGUUUAAACUGCUAUCAAAAUAUAAUACUUUCAGCACUUAUUAUAGAAGCAUUCUAUGACUGAGACGCAAUGCAGUAAGUACAGUUAAAUACAUACUUCUGUAGCAUUUGUUCCCUUAUCCAUCAGAUCAAGUUUUGUUAGCACCCCAAAAGUUCUUUCACCUGAAUACACCAAAUAUAGUAAAAAUGUAAAUCUCCCUUGCUCACCAGUAAAAUUCCUAUUGCAUAACAAUGCUUCAGAAGAAAUAAGAAUAUAUGCAUAAAGCUAAUAUUUAGCAACCUGAUGGAUCCACUUCUCUUGCAAGUUUUAUGGCAUCUGAAGUAGCAAUGUCUUGAUUAGCAGGAGUAAUAGCCAAUAUGAUGCAAUUAGGCUACAAAAUUGAAAACAAACUCAGUGAGAAACAUAAAGAAUAUAUAUGACCUGCAACAUUAGGGCCAAAACAAAAUUGAGAUGUUACUUGUUGAAGACAUCAGAGACAAAACUAAAAUUAAUUGAUCUCAAGUUGAAGGCGUAAUAUGUCAUCAAAGCACAAUGUUGCUUGGUUUGUUGAUGUUAUUGUUUGUUGUUGUUUAUCUCUAGCUUUUGUUGCCCACUUUCUAAGCCCAUUUAUAUUAGUUGUUUGUAUCACACCAAAAUGUGGCGAAAGUGUUAGUUGUACCACAUUCAUUAAGUUUCAGAACUCUUGCAAUCUUACAUCCAGGUUGUGCCUCCCAAGUCCCUAGCUAUUGCUUAAUCAGUUUCAAGAUGGGUGCUUAACAUGGUAGCAAAGCUCAGGGGCAUUUUUUAUGUUGUUUCUCGUUUGUUGCCCAUCAGAUGUCGAUUUAUUGCAAUUGUAGUAUUGGUCCUAUACAUGAGAGGAAGUGUUAACUGGUAUUGUCCUCCAAUAGCAAACUAUCUACCUAUUCUCAGUUGGUUUUAGGUAGGAUGGGUAACAAGGUUGUUAUCAUCUUAAUGUCAAUUUUGAAGAACUAGAACUAGAUUAAGAAAUAUAAAGACACUUCAAACAAAAAUUAAAUUCUUUAAACAAAAUUGAAAAACCUUCCCAAAAAGAUUAUCUCUAAGUCAAACUUCUGAGUACAAUAAAUCAAGCUUAAUUAGAAAACAGCUCCUCUUAUACGAGAGAGACCAAAAUGGAGAAAAAUUUGUGGUGCGAAAACAUAGUAAUCCAAGAAUACCAAGCAUAAUAAUAGUCAUAUUCUCUAUAAGGAAGACUUAUUCAUAAAGUGGCAUCUUAUGAUGUGUGAAAGGAAGUUCAAAUAAUAUUGAAUAGAUAGUUGGAAUGUAAAUUUUGAGUGUUUCAUGAUUGCACCAUUGAAGACAGAAAUAUGACCCUGGACAAUUUAAUUAGAACUCAUGAUUGCACAUCUUAUUUUUAGUGCAGAUGCCUAGUCCAGUUUAAUAAUCAUAUAUUUUAUCAUUGUGCAACAGUUCCUAAUAACACAUAUCAUUUCAAUCUAUCCUAGAUUAAUGGUUAGAAAUUAAUUCCAUUUCCAUCUAUCUUUUUUUUGUGUGUUUAGACACAACCAUCUUUUCCUCUCAAACUGGGAUAUAUAUAUGAAAUAGUUUAUUUCUAGUUUCCUGAAUUUAUAGGCACUUACUUGAUUGAGUUCUAUUUUCCUUGGUUAUUGCAGGAAUACCUUACUCUGAGUCAUAUACAUUUUAGCAUCAAAAAUCAUAUAACAGCUAGCAAGGGUCAAGAAACUCACCUUUUCAACAUAAGAACGGACCAUAUUUUCAAUAUCUUCAACUAUACUAUCUGAC